rnacentral:rRNA from 1 species
AUUGAACGCUGGCGGCAUGCCUUACACAUGCAAGUCGAACGGCAGCACGGGAGCAAUCCUGGUGGCGAGUGGCGAACGGGUGAGUAAUAUAUCGGAACGUGCCCAGUAGUGGGGGAUAGCCCGGCGAAAGCCGGAUUAAUACCGCAUACGACCUGAGGGUGAAAGCGGGGGAUCGCAAGACCUCGCGCUAUUGGAGCGGCCGAUAUCAGAUUAGCUAGUUGGUGGGGUAAAGGCCUACCAAGGCUACGAUCUGUAGUUGGUCUGAGAGGACGACCAGCCACACUGGGACUGAGACACGGCCCAGACUCCUACGGGAGGCAGCAGUGGGGAAUUUUGGACAAUGGGCGCAAGCCUGAUCCAGCAAUGCCGCGUGCAGGAAGAAGGCCUCGG